GAACAAACAUAUGGAAAAGAUCAAUCUAGACUUUAAAAUCUGAUCAAGAUGCAAAUAAAAUAGCCAGUAUAACUUAAUAAACUAAAAUAUAACUCUUUCUACCCAGAUUUUUUUAGACUUCGUGCGAGAAAAAAGGAUUUUGUCAAAGGAUAAUAACAUAAAAUUUCUACAAAUUUUGCCCGACAUUUACUUUCAUAUUUUUAAAGUUAAAAUCGAAAACUUGUAUAGGUUAUUUUGAGGCAACGAGGGGAUAUGUGAUUUAUUAACACAUAUCCCCGAGGUGCCUCAAAAUAACGUACUUAUUUUUCACACUGCGAGGUCGCGUUAACGAGUCAGAAAAGAAAUAAUUCUUAAUGCCAUAUUGCCUUCGCGAUGUUGUUUUUUCUCAUUUUUUGUGNNNNNNNNNNNNNNNNNNNNUAUUAGAGGGGAUUAUUAAUUGCAGGUGAAUAUUAGAGGGGAUUAUUAAUUGCAGGUGAAUAUUAGAGGGGAUUAUUAAACGGAAAUUGAUUAGAGGGGAAUAUUGAAUAUAUUCCCCGACAAGAACAAAGGAAACCGAGCAGGGUGAAAAAUAAGCUGUUAUAUU
rnacentral:lncRNA from 1 species